AAUUGGGGAACUCGGCCCGGCUUUAACGUGCAAAACGNGCGGAAACGAUGGGAGCUUGCUCCCAGGCGUCGAGCGGCGGACGGGUGAGUAACGCGUAGGAAUCUACCCAGUAGUGGGGGAUAGCCCGGGGAAACUCGGAUUAAUACCGCAUACGCCCUACGGGGGAAAGGCCGGGAUCUUCGGACCGGUCGCUAUUGGAUGAGCCUGCGUUGGAUUAGCUAGUUGGUAGGGUAAAGGCCUACCAAGGCGACGAUCCAUAGCUGGUCUGAGAGGAUGAUCAGCCACACUGGAACUGAGACACGGUCCAGACUCCUACGGGAGGCAGCAGUGGGGAAUAUUGGACAAUGGGCGCAAGCCUGAUCCAGCCAUGCCGCGUGUGUGAAGAAGGCUCUAGGGUUGUAAAGCACU
rnacentral:rRNA from 1 species